rnacentral:rRNA from 1 species
UACGGAGGGUGCAAGCGUUAAUCGGAAUUACUGGGCGUAAAGCGCGCGUAGGCGGUUAUUUAAGUCAGAUGUGAAAGCCCCGGGCUCAACCUGGGAAUGGCCUCUGAUACUGGGUAACUAGAGUUUGGAAGAGGGGAGUAGAAUUUCAGGUGUAGCGGUGAAAUGCAUAGAGAUCUGAAGGAAUACCAGUGGCGAAGGCGGCUCCCUGGUCCAAAACUGACGCUGAGGUGCGAAAGCGUGGGUAGCAAACGGG